AUUGAACGCUGGCGGCAUGCCUUACACAUGCAAGUCGAACGGUAACAGGUCUUCGGAUGCUGACGAGUGGCGAACGGGUGAGUAAUACAUCGGAACGUGCCCGAUCGUGGGGGAUAACGGAGCGAAAGCUUUGCUAAUACCGCAUACGAUCUACGGAUGAAAGCAGGGGACCGCAAGGCCUUGCGCGGACGGAGCGGCCGAUGGCAGAUUAGGUAGUUGGUGGGAUAAAAGCUUACCAAGCCGACGAUCUGUAGCUGGUCUGAGAGGACGACCAGCCACACUGGGACUAAGACACGGCCCAGACUCCUACGGGAGGCAGCAGUGGGGAAUUUUGGACAAUGGGCGAAAGCCUGAUCCAGCCAUGCCGCGUGCAGGAUGAAGGCCUUCGGGUUGUAAACUGCUUUUGUACGGAACGAAAAGACUCUUUCUAAUAAAGAGGGUCCAUGACGGUACCGUAAGAAUAAGCACCGGCUAACUACGUG
rnacentral:rRNA from 1 species